UGGGUCAAUUUUCUUUGUGACAGAUUCCGAUUUUUAAAUGCCAGCGGGCGGAAAGGAAAUUAAAGAUCGAUUGCAUGCGCGGCCUCUUAUUUAUUGAAAGCAAAACAGCAUGUACUUGGACACACUUGGACACAAACACUGUGGUUGCAAGCCUGCAAGGCUGCAACAGCAAACAAACCUAGCUACGUACGUGCAUGCAUGCAUGUAGCAGCAUGAUGCAUGCAUCAUAUCCCUCUAUACGCAAGUAGUACCCCGAUCGAAGGCUAAUUAACUACCUUCGAUCUUACGUAUAUUUAUUGUUGGACUUGGACGGCAGAAAUGAUACGAAAGCACCAUACCGCACACAUUUAAUUAGAGGCCGCAACCAUCUAUACAUGGUCUCUUCUAUCUCAUGAAGAUUUCAGUUUGUGGCAGCGCUGCCAGCACUACCAAAGCAACACCACGGAUUCACGAGGGGGCUGAUGCAGGGGCAGCUGCCGCCCGUCUUCUGCAAGAACUGGAGCAACAUUAUCAUCAUGGUCUUCUGCGAGUCGUCGCAGCACCUUGGGCAUAUGCCCUCACUCUCUUACCUAUUGGAUUCGCUUUGAGAAGUGUGCAAACAUACAUCUCAAAACAGUUUCGCAUUGAGAUUUGUGUUUGCACACUUCUCAAAGCGAAUCCAAUGGAUAGGAGAGUGAGGGCAUAUGGGCAAAGAAAACUUUACCGUGGGUGCAGGUGCAGCUGCGCCCUUCGUCUUCUGCAAGAGCCGGAGCAGCAUCAUGGCCUCCAUGGCCUUAUCGGACUCGGGGUCGUCGUCAGAGGCUGGACGACGCUCAUGGUCCUCCGCCGAGAGCAGCCGGCGAGCCGUCGGCGCGGCGGCGUCCGCCUGCACCAGCGGCGCCGAUGCACCAACAGCUGCCAUCAGCUGGCCCAUGGUCAGGACCAGCAUGCAGACGGCAGCCAUCUUGAGAGUGAGAGCAGUAGCCAUGGUCUAUACCUAGCUAGCUUUGGCAAGACUAUUUGCUGUGUCGUCGAGCAAGUAUAUGUGCGAAGAAGUGCGAGGUGCGAGUGCGAGAUGUCACUGAAACUUGCUCCAUUUUAUAGGCAUAACCGCGAGCCGAGCAACCGAGAGCUAGGUGUUGCCUCUCAUUUAACGACGACUGAUGAAUCAGCCCCUACGUGUUCGCUAGCUAGAUAUAUAUAUACUGGUUGAAGAACAGAAGGGCAUG
rnacentral:lncRNA from 1 species